GGGAGUUGUAGUCCUCUCGGGUUGACCUGGCCUCCGCCGGAGCCGCUGCGCACCACGCAGUGGUUUUGAGAGCACAUUCCCAGGGCCGGGUGCUGUGUUAAGCCUGUGCUGAUCGGCUGGAGCUGGGAAGCUGAAGGCCAGCGAGGCGGGAUGCUGCCGUCACUCCCAUCACUCCCAUCGCUCCCGCUGCUCCCAUCGGAGGACGGCGUGUUCCUGGGAUUACGCAAGAACGGGCAGCGUGUGCCCCCGGCCCCUCGCUGCCACGAUGGGCAGUGAUCCCCCAUCUCCAUUCACAGCCUCUGCGUCCCCACGUGAAAUGGGAAACCUUGGAAAAGCAGAAGUGUGGCUGGAAUUAGGAUUAAGCUAUUUUUAGCAGCUGCCUUGUGCCCUGUCCAUGCUCCAGCUGGGAUGUUUAAUUCUAUCUGGGACAACUCUUUCUGCAGUUGCACCCAGGAUUGAUACAAACAUUUCCUUUUAAACCUUGAAUCUGUUGUAUUUUUCUUCAGUUUUAGUUGAGCACUGUGGUUUUUACCAAAACCCUUUUUUCCCUCCACAUCUACAAUAACUGGAAAAUCCAGCAGUAAAGUAAUACAAAUGUUGCUGUAUAAUAAAAGAAGUUGUAGAACUUUUACUAUCA